UGUCAGCUCACAAAGCUAAAAAUACAAAGAUCCUUGAAGGUCACUUCUCCCCUUCUCCCAAAAUCUUAAAUAUAUUUUGAAGUGAAAGGGCUUUGGAGCUGAUUAGCUAAGAUGUACUUCCAGGUGCAGAAUGAGGAUGUGGUUUGGGAUGAAGGUGAAGUGGAAAGAAAAAUGCCACAUGUCACGUGAUGUGAUACAAGAUGAAACAGCUCUAGCAAAACCCAGAAUGUAAAUGACCUUAUGAUCAGCAAUCCAACCCUAUCUCUAGUACAUUUUCAAAAACAAGCAAAAUACAGUAAAAAAAACCCAACUAUAUUGCACCAACAAAAGAAAAAAGUCAAAUAAAAAUUGUGAGAUAAAGGUC